GUAGGCUGAAAUUACGCCUACAUGAAGCCGGAAUUGCUAGUAAUGGCAGGUCAGCAUACUGCCGUGAAUACGUUCCCGGGCCUUGUACACACCGCCCGUCACACCAUGAGAGCCGGGAACACCCGAAGUCCGUAGUCUAACCGCAAGGAGGACGCGGCCGAAGGUGGGUUUGGUAAUUGGGGUGAAGUCGUAACAAGGUAUC
rnacentral:rRNA from 1 species